rnacentral:lncRNA from 1 species
CAAACAACACUUACUGCAAUGGGAUAUUAACACGUUGUUCUGAAACUCUGGUACUUCAGUUUUUAACUUCAGUGAAUACAUUUCAUCAGAACUUGCAAGAAAUAGAUCACUGCUCUUAGAAGAUCUUAUGGAUCUUAUGGAAGAUCUUAUGGAAGUGAAGCAGCAGCACGGUUGGACAAAGUAACGGGUGGCUUUGUUGUGCUUCCAGGUGGGAGCUGCUAGGUCCUCAUACAGCACUGACUAAACAAACAGCAACCAACAGAUAACCCCAUGCCCUCUUACAGGAAUGGUGCUGCUGUAGGGAAGAAUAAUAAGAACAGAGAUUGAUCUUCAGGCCUUUUCCAUAAAGUUUUGGCUUUACUGAAGACACUCAGCAAGCACUAGUGCGACCAGUUCAUUUUCCUGUUUCAAAUGCAGACCUCCCAGCCUUCUUGGCUGCAAAUCUCCUCGAUUUGUUCAACUGCUGACCUUUCAUUCUCUGCCAGCUGGGUACGAUGUUGGUAUCAGUCCCAGUUACCAACAGAUCUUAGUAACAGCAGCCUCGUGGGGAACCUAAAGACACAAUUAUUUUCAUUUAUAUUACUAGAGUUUGUGUCCUGCCCAUAAGCUGUUACCUGCCAUCCCAAAAGCCGUGGCACAUCCCAACAGUUUCCACUGCCUCCCUGCCCUGCCUCUACACUCCUUCAUACCACCCACGCUUCUGGAAACCCAGGUCCCACCCUUGGAGAACUGCGCUGUUUGUUUGGCUGGUGCCAGCUCUGUGCCCGCAGCAGUCCCCAUGCCUGGCUCCAAGCGUGGGGUUGGAGUGGUGGGCGCGAAGAGAGCGUACAGUCAAAACCCAAAGAAGACAAAGAUGAGUUCAAAAGAAACAACAAGAAGAGAAAUUCAAGAGUAUACAAUCUUCAUCAUGUCAUUAAUUGUAAAUAAUGAUUUGCCUGGCCUUGGCACUGCUCCCAGGAAGUCAUGCUGGGGAUCAAGAAUGCAACAGGAUGACGCAUGGCUUGGAGAUAUUGUGUCAAGCACCACCUGGUUCCUGUUAGCUGAAUGCCUUGCUGACAUUGCUCUGUCAUUCUUCACUUGACUGAAAACUCAUGGACUCAUUGCCUGGAUGAGGCUUGAUGGAAAUGCUUGGUAAACUUUAAGAGUUUAAAAAUGUUUGAGAAAUUAAAGGAGGAAGAAAAACAGAGCUCAAUAAAAUCUAUAAAAAUGCCCUUCCCCCCCCCCUCCAACUUCUUGUACACUAAAUAUGUUAAAUUCUGAUCUCUAAACCUCUAAUUUUUAUUUUAUUUUUUUUUUUCCCCUCAAGGACCUUGAUGUUGUUUGUGAAUAUAUGAUUUAUAUGAACUUUGUAAGUAAACCACCGCAGAUUGUUUUUAGCACCAGAGUUUCACUAUCCAGCACAUGGGGGUGCCCAGCUGAUAGGAGAUACAACAACCAUGAAACACUAAAUAUCCACAAUGGCUUCUGGAUGCACUGUAUGCAUUGAAUUCAUUUAAUAUUUUUUAUGCUUUGAAUUUUUAAUGUACUGAUUAUUAUUAUUAUUAUUAUCAUUAUUAACCUCUAAAGCAAAUGUACAGAAGUAUGUGAAUGCUGGCACCCUUCCUAGCCUCCUGCAGCCUAACUGACCCUUCUGCAUUGCCUGCUAUUGCUGCUAAACAGGACUUUAACUUUGUGGCUAAGAAACCUUGAGGCCAGCACAGGAAGAUGCCCAAGUGGUGGAUUCACCUCGCAAAGGCCUUUUUGGCCACUUUUAAAAACAUAAAGUUAAUUUCCUUAUUAAUAGUGGGGUGACAUUUGCUCUUAUUGCCUUUCCCUGUGGGGAGAUAUGUUGGACUGUUGCAAUAUGGUGUCGGGGGGGGGGGGUGCAUGUGCUGGUGGUGCUCAUGUAAGUCAUGCACGCGUGGGCACUUCUGCCUAUGUAUCUGCCUACCACUAGUCACAGCCUGCAGUGGUUGGCACACACGGCUGGGAAAGCAGCACUGCAAAGCAGCUUGAACUGACACGGGAGGCAGAAGAGCCCGCUGGUGAUAAUUGGUGUCUCCUGGGGAGUCACUCUGUGUUCCUGAGCUGCCCCCAGGGAAGAAAGCUCUACUGUAAGUGGCACGUGUUUGGGUGGACAUCCACUGAUUCAAGCUUGUCACCUUUUGUUGUGUAAGGGAGCUGUUGUCAUUUUUAAGGUUGGGAUUAAUGAAUCUAAUGAACCUUUGCUGAUUCAAAUUUGUACUCAACAGCGUCUCUGUGCAACAAGUGAACAUGGUUCAAGUGUUUCCCCCCGAUCCUCUUUCUGAUGGUGUAAAUGCAUCUUGCCAAGUUACUUUUUCUAGAGAAAAUACAACACUAUCUGGCUCUCAAUGAGCAAUUGUGAAAUCAACUGUUUCCUCUAUUUAAAAAUACCAUUUCUAUCUAAUUAUUCAAAUCAGAAAUACGAGGAGGACCACAUAGUUCUUCGUGAGGUCUGAAGAGAUCUUGCUGUAACCACAAAACCCCAGCAAACCUAGAGAAAUGAAAACAAACCUAAAUAAUGAUAGC